AACGCGAAGAACCUUACCUAGGCUUGACAUGUAUCCGACAGUUGUAGAAAUACAAUCUUCUGGGCUUCGGUUCAGACGGAUGCACAGGUGCUGCAUGGCUGUCGUCAGCUCGUGUCGUGAGAUGUUGGGUUAAGUCCUUUAACGAGCGCAACCCCUGUCGUCAGUUGCUACCCACGUGAGUGGGGCACUCUGGCGAGACUGCCUGGGAAACCAGGAGGAAGGUGGGGAUGACGUCAAGUCAUCAUGGUCCUUAUGUCUAGGGCUACACACGUGUUACAAUGGCUAAUACAAAGGGUUGCAAUGCCGCAAGGUGGAGCUAAUCCCUAAAAUUAGUCUAAGUUCGGAUUGAGGUCUGCAACUCGACCUCAUGAAGUUGAAAUCGCUAGUAAUCGCAUAUCAGAACGAUGCGGUGAAUACGUUCCCGGGCCUUGUACACACCGUAGUAC
rnacentral:rRNA from 1 species